GGGCCCGUGAGGUAGUCAGGAUAUCCCAUCGGCCCUCGGAGCCGACAACCCGGGUUCAAAUCCCGGCGGGCCCG
rfam:Thermoplasma acidophilum DSM 1728 complete genome